UAUAGAUGACUUCAAAGCUAACACACAUGGACUAAAAGUCUCCUUUUUCUCCACUCCGUUCCUUUUUUAAAUUAAUCAUCCGUCCGAGCCUGAGAAGAGAUCUCGUCGUCGUGUCAUCUCCGGCAGCACUGCUUCAAACACGUCUCGUGGUCAUGAGAUCGCAGGCUGAUUGUGUCAGUUGGGCGUGUGAGCAGAUGCAGGACCCCGUGCGUCAGGACCCCGUGCUGUCCUACAGGAUGCCCGAGUGACUGCGUGGGAAUGUGGGCCGUUUGAUCCACUCUCAUCCUUUCUGCUUUUGCCACCUCCACAAGAGGGCAGACUGUUGGAGGUGAUUUCUGUUGAAGAUGUCUACGUGUGCCA